rnacentral:rRNA from 1 species
UGAGGAAUAUUGCGCAAUGGGGGCAACCCUGACGCAGCAACGCCGCGUGAGUGGGGAAGGUUUUCGGAUCGUAAAGCUCUGUCGAGUGGGAAGAAAUGUAUCAUGGCUAAUAUCCAUGAUACUUGACGGUACCGCUAAAGGAAGCACCGGCUAACUCCGUGCCAGCAGCCGCGGUAAUACGGGGGGUGCAAGCGUUGUUCGGAAUUAUUGGGCGUAAAGAGCGUGUAGGCGGCUGAAUAAGUCAGAUGUGAAAUCCCUGGGCUUAACUCAGGAAGUGCAUUUGAAACUAUUCAGCUCGAGUAGGGGAGAGGAAAGUGGAAUUCCUGGUGUAGAGGUGAAAUUCGUGGAUAUCAGGAGGAACACCGGUGGCGAAGGCGACUUUCUGGCCCUAUACUGACGCUGAGACGCGAGAGCGUGGGUAGCAAACA